rnacentral:rRNA from 1 species
UGGGGAAUUUUGGACAAUGGGCGAAAGCCUGAUCCAGCAAUGCCGCGUGUGUGAAGAAGGCCUUCGGGUUGUAAAGCACUUUUGUCCGGAAAGAAAUCCUUGGCUCUAAGUACAGUCGGGGGAUGACGGUACCGGAAGAAUAAGCACCGGCUAACUACGCGCCAGCAGCCGCGGUAAUACGUAGGGUGCAAGCGUUAAUCGGAAUUACUGGGCGUAAAGCGUGCGCAGGCGGUUUGCUAAGACCGAUGUGAAAUCCCCGGGCUCAACCUGGGAACUGCAUUGGUGACUGGCAGGCUAGAGUAUGGCAGGAGGGGGGUAGAAUUCCACGUGUAGCAGUGAAAUGCGUAGAGAUGUGGAGGAAUACCGAUGGCGAAGGCAGCCCCCUGGGCCAAUACUGACGCUCAUGCACGAAAGCGUGGGGAGCAAACAGGAUU